rnacentral:tRNA from 1 species
AAAGGGAGACCUAAUUCAGGUAUAAGACGAGAAAAAGUAGUCCCUACCAAGAAUCAAUCCCAAAAGGUCGGAACGAGGUAUGAGGCUUUCAAACUAGGUUCUGGGUUCAUAAAAGACCUGAAUCAGGAACAAGGGCUAUUAGCUCAGGUGGUUAGAGCGCACCCCUGAUAAGGGUGAGGUCCCUGGUUCGAGUCCAGGAUGGCCCACCUGCACAGGUGGCAAAAACAAGAGAAGCGAGGAAUCAGCACCUUAUCUUAUAUACAUAUAUAAGAGAGAAUGCUGGCUCUGAGUACAGAGUCCAGAGGAACCUUGAAAACUGCAUAGAGCUAGGUGAAAAAGCCAAAAAAGAAGACCGCAAG